ACAUCAAGUUGAAACACCAGUUCCCAUACAAUCACUGAAGUUAAGCAAUGUCAAGCCUAGUCAGUACCUAGAUGGGUGAUCAUUUGGGAAUACUUGGUGCUGUAA